CCUCGCUCGACCCACCGCUGGUCACUGCCCCGCCGCCUGCUUCUCCUAGUCCUAGGACCUCCUCGCCUCGUCCCUCUUCCCCACCCCAAGCCUCCCACCUUCACUUACCCUCACGCAGCACACGGGCGCAGUAGAUGAUGGUGUUGUAGGUGGACACGGCGGCGGCCGCACCGCCCUGGGCCUCCUCGAUCUGGGCAUCCUCUGCAGCGCGAUAGGCUCAUUCCGCCCAGUGGGCUGUCCGAUGGCCUGGGUACCCUGCUCGGCCUACUUAGUCAACGUUGUUGUUUCGGAUCAUGUCCCUUUGGAGAAGUGAGCAAUGCUAUAACACUCUAUGAGCCAAUGCUGAAACCUCGCACAAGUGCUGAUCUGAAGAAAACCCUUAUGCAUCUGAUGAUUCAAGCAACCAUUUUUGUAAAGCAUGGCAGGAAGGCCACGUGCUAUCAUGGUCCUACUUUCCGUGAUUGGAUGGAUGCAAUCAACGCUCGCUCCAUUGAGGAUCGCCUGACAGAUGAGUUCUCAACCAUGAUGCCCCAUUUGAUGUUUUUAUAUUUUACUUGCGCCACCCAGAGACCAAGUGUUGGCUACUGUAUCACCACCACCUCGGAUUUCAGUCGUGAAAAGUUUUCCUCGGGAAAUUCUGUUGAAGUACUACUUUUCAUAGUUAUCUUAUUUCGUUCUCCUUUUUCACUAAGUUACUGUCAGUAAAAAUAGUUGCGUGGAGCCACUGAUAGUUAGAAGCAGUUAAUAUGUAUAUAGUGUGGUCGUGUAACUCAGAUAAUUAAUAUCAAGCACAGACGUAAAACAAAUAACUUGAAUAUAGCAGUACCAUUAUCACAAAAAAUGUCACAUGGAUCGUGCAUAUUACACAAGGUUAAAAAGCUGAGUGGACAAUAGACUUUUUUAUUUUGUAGAGAUAUAAUUCAGACUAAUAGGACACACGAAGUCAGGUUCGGACCACCAGAGCAAUCCUAGAGGCUUUACAGCCUCCUGAGCCGAUGGUUCGUGUAGUACUGUAUGGUCAACCAUUGUCGUAGAAACGCCAUGACACGGGUCAGUAUAGAUACACGAGUUGGGCCAAGUGUUAGACGAUAAGUUGCUAGCUCAGCAGCUACUGCCUCAAAGACAAUAUGGUUCUCGUCAGUGGAUUUUAAAACUCCUACAACAUUUAGAAAACAACAAGAGUUAGAAUACUCAUGUAUGUUAAGCAGUUUAGUAAAAUCAACACUACAUUCUAAUACUCGUUGUGUCAUCUAGCAGGUGUAAACUGCAACUUACUAUAAUUUGAUAUAGCGCAAUAUCGUAGACUCCAAUUAGUGAACAGAAAAAUGUGUCCCAGUUCUUGUGUGCAUUGCUGUUGUACUCUAAAGAUGCUUCUCACUGCUUUCCUCUCAUUAUCGAUGAGAAGUUUUGACUUCAGAUUGGUGAGUAGCCCACACACAGAAGUGGGUUGCAAUAUUAACUUGUAUGAACCAGAACCUAUCUCUGGAAGUUUAGAAAGCGUGUUACAUUUUUAGUUGCAUUAUGUGCUUCCCAUGGCCAUGCAUCUGCUGUGGUGUCUGCACUCUAAGAUCAUAUUUCAUACCUAUUGGUGUCUGCCACACUGAAUUUUGUAGGUCUUCCUGUUGCUUACCAAGAAAUUUUGAAGAGCAGGCCUAUUUAGUGUGGAAAUUAUGUAAACAUGCUGACAGUGUUCCUUCCAUGGCUUUCAACUUCCACUCAUCCCAUGAACAUGAAGAUAUUCGUAACUGCUUAUGUAAAAUAGUACCGUUAGAGAAACUUUCUUCAGCAGGUUGUAUACUUGUAUUUACUUGGAUCAAAGGGAAAGCAACCAGAGAAGUGGUGCAGAGUAUCUUCAGUGAUAAUUUGGAUAGAAGUCAUAGUUGCAAAGAUGCCUCCAUUGUUGAUCAAGCUGAUGGAGUUCAUGUUUGAGAUAACUUUCAGAAGCUACUCCAGGAGUAGAGUAUACUUGCAUUUUGACUAUGAUCGUCCUCUUCUUCUUCAGUGAUGCAGAUUUUAUUACUGACCAAUGGUUGUCUUCGAUACAGUCUGGAGGGAGAUGCAGGAGAUGCAACAGUUAUAUAAGAUGAAAAUAAAGUUUGAAGCAAUUCCAUGAAAGAUCAAGGAGUGUAUAAGCGGGUUGUCGCUGCAGCAGUAAGGAGACGCCGUAGCAACAUCACAUAAUAGUGCUCACAGGUGAGGGGAUUCCCAUUGGUUUGCAUGUUGCGGCAUUCUUGAGAUAUAUUUAUUGCAAAUUUCCAGUGUUUUAUGGUCUGUUUGGAGGUUUAUAUUGCUACUUUGUCAUGUAGACUCUUUUAUUCACGAUCCGAAUCGAUAGGAAUAGAAGAAGUGAAGGUUUAUUAGGACGUGUCUAACCUGAAAUCCCACAUGAUUUCUUUGCACCAUAUGCAUCUUCCAAAAGGUGCUGAUCAAUAGAAAUUAUCUACGGAUCGGGGUGCAUAGGAGUAACUCAUACACGCAAUUUCUACAAAUUACUACUUUUGUCGAAUGCAUGCAGGAGCACAAUAGCUGCCCCAUUAUAUUAGAGGAGAAAUAAAUACACUACUCCCUCCGAUUCAAAUGAUGGGGAAUUCUCCCUGAUGACAACCAAUUUCAGAAGGGCAUACAACUUAGAGGUGUGAUUCCUGGAGGUCUCUCGCCCAGCCAUGCUUGAGGGUACCCUUUAUAUGCACGCACCAGAAAUCUGAUGGGCUUCUCUUUGGAGGUGUGAAAUUGUAGAGAUCUAGGGCAAGUACCGAUCUAGUUGCUGCGAAAUGAUGUAGUUUCCUUUCUUCUGUGCUGAUGCAAAAUCCCUAAAAAAUUAUAAACUCUAUCAUACGGAACUUGAGAAGUGUGAAUAAUACGGAACUACCAGAUCUAACCAAGAAAAGAUUAUAAACUCUAUCAUACAUGAUUUUGAGAAAAUUAGAAAAAUUGGUGCGUGGAAUUUAGAAUUUAGUCCUCAUACCUAUGGUGUGUAACAAAUUAGAAGAAACAAGAUAUUAGAUCAAAAUCAUCUACGUCAGAAACAAAAAACUGAUUCUGUUGGCCAUAGGUAUCAUGUAGA